GAGUGGCGAACGGGUGAGUAACACGUGGGUACCCUACAUCUUAGCAGGGGAUAACAUUUGGAAACAAGUGCUAAUACCGUAUAAUACCAACAACCGCAUGGUUGUUGAUUGAAAGAUGGUUCUGCUAUCACUAAGAGAUGGACCCGCGGUGCAUUAGCUAGUUGGUAAGGUAACGGCUUACCAAGGCGAUGAUGCAUAGCCGAGUUGAGAGACUGAUCGGCCACAAUGGGACUGAGACACGGCCCAUACUCCUACGGGAGGCAGCAGUAGGGAAUCUUCCACAAUGGGCGCAAGCCUGAUGGAGCAACGCCGCGUGUGUGAUGAAGGGUUUCGGCUCGUAAAACACUGUUAUAAGAGAAGAACGGCACUGAGAGUAACUGUUCAGUGUGUGACGGUAUCUUACCAGAAAGGAACGGCUAAAUACGUGCCAGCAGCCGCGGUAAUACGUAUGUUCCAAGCGUUAUCCGGAUUUAUUGGGCGUAAAGCGAGCGCAGACGGUUAUUUAAGUCUGAAGUGAAAGCCCUCAGCUCAACUGAGGAAUGGCUUUGGAAACUGGAUGACUUGAGUGCAGUAGAGGAAAGUGGAACUCCAUGUGUAGCGGUGAAAUGCGUAGAUAUAUGGAAGAACACCAGUGGCGAAGGCGGCUUUCUGGACUGUAACUGACGUUGAUG
rnacentral:rRNA from 1 species